AUUCUCCACGUGUGGGGACGGGUGUCAAGCAUCCUGAAAAAGACCCGAGGACCGGGUGGUGGAACGCUGCUGCAGACCUGGACUAUUUUCACUGGAUUCUGAGUGAGCGAGUGCAGAGCUCAAACUCCCAACUUCGAAGGAGAGGAUGUAGGCCUGCAGUGUGGUUGCUGAUUUCUCUGGGAGCUUGAUGAAGCUCAUUCUGGGAAAGAUGAAAAAAACCUGGAAGCCGGAAUCAACUGCUUCUAGAACUGCUGCUGCCAGGGAAAGAAACCGCUAGUACAGAAGGUGUCUGACUUCGUAUGACCUUGGUGAAGAGUUUCAGGAAGGAGAAUGGCUCAUGAAAUCGUCUUGUCGGCCUUAGAGACCAGACAGAUUGGACUGCAAUCCUUACUACUCUAGAAAACGAGGAGAUGCGAGGAAACGCUCUUGGUGUGCCCUCCUGGUCUUCCUGCCAUCUUUCAGGAUGGAGAUACCUAUUUCCCAAGCUGUUAAAGGUCAUGUUCACUGUGCCAUCGUGACAGUCGUGCUGAGGAGUGAAGCCACGGGCAUCUUGCAAACUUGGAGCUGUGUCCUGGGAGACUUCUACUUGCCCUUUGAAGAUGGGAAGAGGGGCAGGUGUGUAUUGGUUCAACAUAAGUGGCUGCUCCAGGCUUUGAACAUCUUCAGUGAAACUUUGUUGUGAGAAAUUCUUCCUUCACCUCUCCGUUAAAGUAUGGAAACCCCAAAUGAAUUGGUGGAAAGCUCAGAAGACAACUCUUCUGACAGGAGCCACUAUUUCAAGGCUGGUUGAUAAGAACUUGUGCAGCUUUUCCAUCUGGGCCUCUUGGAGCACUUGCUUUUGAAAUUCAGCCAUCAUGCCAUGAGGAAGCCAAACUGGCCCCAAGGAGUGGCCUCUGGCCAACAGCCCCAGAUGAACUCCCAGCUGACACCCGCACCAACUUUACAGCCAUAUGACAGCUAUGUUUCUCAUUUGAUUCUCAAAUUGAAACCAUGGGUAAAGAGUCAAAUCCGUUUCACUUGCUUUCAGCAAUCAAGGUCUUUUUAAGUCUUAAUGCAUCUUUUAAGCUGCAUGGAGUCUAAAGAAUAAGACAUUUGCCUGAGCUGUCUUCAGGAACUUAAGAGUCUCAGCUGUGUCUAGUUUGGGCUGAGCUGAUGAGACUGGAUAGGACCACCAAUCCCUCAGCUGGGCCUGUGUGCAAGUCUGCUGGUGACCUGGUAAACCUGUGGAGGCCUGAAGCCUAGUUACGCCUGCGCAGAAGGACAAUUCCCACACCAUUUUCCAAUCACCUUUCUUCACCCUCCCCACACUGUUGGUGCUUCCCAUGCCUCAGACUGCUGUCUCCUUAUUCCUGACCUCAUAAAUACCCUGAGCCUGCUGGUUUUGUAGGGGGGUUUGUGCAUGUGUACCUUCACUCAGGACACUUGCACCCCAAAUCUGGGCUUGUGCACUCUGGCUUUGGAGCCCAUGCAGGAAAAAGGCAGAGUUUUUAGCCCUCUGCUAAAUAUUUUGGAGUUUUGAAUUUAAGGACAGAGAGCUGCUUCCUGAAGGAAGGGAAAGCUCUAGCCAGACUUGCAGUUCCCACCAAGACAAUUUUAGGGCUUCUUGGAAUGGGUGGCAUUGCCACUUCUGGAUCCUCCCUUUGGACUCAUAGCAAAGCCCUUUGAACGAAGCCUUUAAAGGAGAAGACUGUGACCCUCUAGGACAAAAUCUUGGAGAAUAAACAUUCAGAAGACUGGCUCCAUCAUUGCUGGACUGGACCUUAUGAGCAAUAGAUGGGCAACGGAAACCAUGCUUGACAAAAACCAGGACCAAGAUCAUCCAAACCUAGGCUGGUUCCAGACGCAGGCACUGACUUCUCCCAGGGGCCGGGUGAACCCCAACAGAUCUUAAGUUGUUUUCCCGAAGCUGUGAGCAAGACAUCAAGCCAAGACAUGGAACCUCAAAGUCCAUCGACAGAUGAAUGUAUUAAGAAGAUGUGGUACAUAUACACGAUGGAAUACUACUCAGCCAUAAAAAGAACAAAAUAAUGCCAUUUGCAGCAACAUGGAUGGAACCAGAGAUUCUCAUACUAAUCAAAAGAGUUGAAAGGAUAUGGCUUUUUAGCAAGGAGAAAACUGAAUGGGGCUUCAAACAGAUAUUCCUGAAGAAAGGUAGCUGGACAAGUGAAGUGAACUAUCAUGUUGGAGAGAUUCACAUCACAAGAACCUUAAGGCAACUUCCAGCCAGUAUCCAGCAAGGAACGGAGUUCAGUCACUCUUAGAAGCCAUGUCACAUCAACAACCACAUAAGCAAACUUUGAAACUCCUUCUCCAUUUGAGCCUUCAGAUGAGAACUUAGCUCUGACAGCACCUCAUAAGAGACCAUGCAGCAGGAGGACCCCACUAAAUGAGCCAAAUUCAUGAAAUAGACACUGAGAGAUAACAAAUGUAUGUUACUCUAAUUUGAUAAAUUUGUGAUAAUUUGUUAUGUAGUACAAUGUAAUAAACAGACAAGUCAAAAAAAAAUUUUUUUCUGAAAGUAACAUGCCUAUAGAUCAAUAACCAAGAAUCCCUGUACAACGUGAAGUCUUUGCCAUCAAAUUAAUAAGAGCUGGAGAAAUGUAAAUUAGUGAAUAUUUUCUAUGAACUUUCUAUAAAAACUAAGUUCGUAAAUCUAGACUGUAACUCAACAAGGUCUUUAAAAAUGCUUUGGGGUAAAAAUUCAAGGUAAUAAAAGGAAUAAAAGUUAUUAUCUCCUGAGCCAACUUAACAUAGGGAUGAGACAUGAAGAACUUGGAUGAGUAAGCAGCUAGUAUGUCCUUUAGAAUAUGUCAAAUGAGCUCUUUGCAAAUGCUAGGAUGUUGUAAAUUCUUGGCUGGAUCCUCUUAGGAGUGCUGCAGUGCAGAUAAUCUGUGUUGUCAAUUAAGGGGCCAUCCAUAUGCUUUAUGUGUGUGGCAUGCAGGCAGCAAGCCUGGCAUUCUCCUCAGAAAAUUCAGAAACCUGGCUCAUGCUCGGAUCUUGACAGAGGACCAUUCAACUCCUAUUUAGAGGAAGGACUGCCAGAGUGUCAGUGGGCAGAUUUUUUUUCCAAAAAAUAAUUUUGAAUUUAGUUAGGCAUUUGGCUAAGGACUAUGAGAUCCUAGCUAUCUUAGGCUUGGAGGAAGAAGUUUUCACCUGAAUAAAACAUUAAGUGUAGUCGGAACUACUUGCUUCCCAAGACUCUAAAAGGCCUCAGUUAUACCAUACAUAUUAUUUGUUUUUGAUGAGGACUUCAGCUUGGUGCCCAUGCCAGGAUGAAUUAGCUGCAAAUCCUAGCCUCAAAGACAUGAAUAAUUAGAUUUCUUGGAUAAAGUUAUUUAGAACUCAGUAUUUCUGCAUUUAAAGAAGACUAAUGAAAGUCUUCUUAUUUUAACUUUUGAUUUUUACAUAUACAUUCUAUAUUCUUUCUUGGAAGCAGAUCAUAUAAUUAACUUAAUAGAUCAUUAAAAUACUUGCUUCAUUUCCACUGAAGCAGUGCGUGAUCAUGGAUAAAAGGGCUGGCUUUUGAAUCAGACUUCCUGGUUUGGAUUCCUACUCUGUCACACACUUACUGUUUGUAAGCUUGGGUGAGUCACUUGACUUAUCUGUGCCUUUAUUUUCUUCUCUGUAAAAUGUUAAUGAUAAUACUUGUUCUACUGGGGAAGUUGAAUAAGUUAACACAUGCCAAGUCUUAUAGCUUGGAUAAACUCAGCAUUCUGUAAUUUUGAACCAUUAAAUACUUAGCUAAUUGAUGGUACAUUUUUUUUCAGAUCACAAUUCCAUUAGAAGUUCCCUUGUUUAUUAAGGCCUCUCCCCACUUGUGAAAAUAAAGUCAUGUCAGCAGAAUAGCAAAAGAUGGUUCCCUUUGCAGAAGGAGCAAAAUUUUCAUCUAUAGCAAUGAAGAGCCACACUAAGUUAAACUGUAGGUAUCCUGUAGUGGCUCUUGAUACCAUUUCUGGGUGUCAAAAAGUGUGUGAGGAGCAGCUCUGUGUACCUUUAGUACUGUUCAUUAAAUGGUCUCCUCCUCCUCCCAGGCACUUGGCUCAGUUGUGCCUCCUCACUCCCUUGAACUUAGGCAUGGCUCUGAGCUGCACCCUUAUCCAGCUCACAGGUCAUCUAGUCUUGCUUUCUUUCCCCUCACAUGUUCCUGCAAUGCUUGCAACGAUGAAGCCUCCAUCAGCCAUCUGCAAGCUGCAACACAGGUCACAGAAGAGGCUUGGAUCCAACAUUGCUAUGGUUGUGAUGUAGCCCUCAUCUGCAGCUCUGAUUCAGCGCCUUGCCUGGGAAAUUCCGUAUGCCACAGGUGCAGCCCUAAAAAAAAAGAAAAA
ensembl:lncRNA